UUAUCGAAAAACCAAAACCCCAAAAAUUUGAAUAACCCUCUCUGCCUUCUCCUUCUUCUUCCUCUCCCCCACUACACAACUCCACCCUCACCCUCUUACGCGCGCAAGAUCUCAACUGCCGAACAUUCUAGAACCCUUUCAGAUCGAACACCAUCUUCCAUCUUCCAUCUUCAUUCUCUUCUGUUGUUCUUCUGGCGACUGAUUCGAACGAAGCGCUGAGAGUGAUGGGGGAUGAGAAAGCUGAGAAGAAAGAAAGUGGUGCGGUGAAGGAGAAUAUCGAGAACAAUGGAGAGAAGACGAAGGAAGAGAAGAAGAAGAAGAAGGGGUUUAUUUCGAGAAUUUGGCACGCGAUGUUCAGGUCCAACAACGACGAUUUCGAGAAGAGGCUUCAGUAUAUCACCAAAGAAGAAAACGCUGUCGUUGUGAGAAUGAGCAACAGAUCUCGCUCUUGGAGGCGAACCUCUCGCCAGCUUAUUUUAUUUUCAAUUCUGUUUGAGGUCAUUGCUGUAGGUUAUGCUAUUAUGACUACAAGAUCAAUGGAUAUGAAUUGGAAAAUGCGGGCAAUUCGAGUGUUGCCAAUGUUUCUUUUGCCUGCCUUGUCAACUGCUACAUAUUCAACAUUUGUCAGCUUCACAAGGAUGUGUGAUCGCAAGGACCAGAAAAUUCUUGAAAGGCUUAGAGCUGAAAGGAAAGCGAAAAUUGAUGAGCUCAAAGAGAAGACAAAUUAUUACAUUACUCAACAACUCAUUCAGAGAUAUGACACGGAUCCAGCAGCAAAAGCAGCCGCUGCAACUGUUUUAGCAUCUAAGUUGGGUUCAGAUUCUGGUUUGAACGUGUAUGUGGAGGAUGAAUCUUCUGCUGCUCCAACUGGGAAGACCAAGGAUGUUGAAGUUGUGCAGUCAAGUGGUCUUCGAAAUCGCAAGCAAGUGAACUCUAGAUCCACUAGUCCAGGGACAAAGCCAACAAAUUAUUCUGAUGAACAAUUAGUUGGUUCUGGGAAAAUUAAUCAAACUCAAACUCCUGAGCAAAAUGAGCUUGUAGUUGUUGAACAUCAUCCUCAAAGUUCAGCAAUGAAUGAUGGAGGAUGGAUUGCUCGAAUUGCAGCAUUGCUUGUUGGUGAAGAUCCAACGCAAUCUUAUGCACUCAUAUGUGGUAAUUGCCAUAUGCAUAAUGGUCUUUCUCGGAAGGAGGAUUUCCCAUUCAUUACCUAUUACUGCCCACACUGUCACGCCUUGAACAAACCAAAGCAUUCGGAAGAACAUACAUCUAUCCCAAAUACUGGUUCUCCAAAAGCAGAUGAUGGCGAAGAAGUCCAAAAAGCUGGUGCUUCUGACAGCUCAAUCUCAAGCGAUAAUCCUGUAAAAGCGACCCCUGAGAUUGAGGAAGUAGCUGCCCGGGCUAUUUCAGGUGAAGAAAGCUAGUUAAAUGAGAAGCCUCUUUUGGUGAUGGACUAUUUGAAUGACAUGUCUUGCCCUUUGUUUCAUGUCAAGGUCCAACUGUUAAGGAUACUCAAUUUUAAAAUCGGACUGUAUACCCAAGAGACUUGAAAACAACUUCGCAGUUGGUUUCCUUACUGUUGUUGUAACGAGAAGAGUUUUAAUAUAUUGCUUUGAAACUUGUGGUUUACAAAUUAUAGUUCACAGAUUACAUCUCUUGCUUUUGAGUUGAGGCAAUUUUUUGAUUUCCAUAUAUUUUCCCUCUUUCUUGGAAUAGUUUAAUAGAUCAAAACAAGAAACAAUAAGAAAAUUUCAUAAAUUGGGUAAGUGUGGAUGAUUUUGGUGUGAGAUUUAUUUCAUAAACAUUGUAACUUUGUAAUAGCUAUGUUAUGACUAAUGAAAAAAUAGUUCUCAUUU